UCUCCUGUUAAAAAUUCAAAUUCCAAGCAACGCGUAAAUUUUUACCGCAAACCGAGUUUUGUAUUAGGAUCACAUGAUGUGCGAAGAGGUGGCACGCCGAAAGGUGCCACCUCCAGGUAACUCAUAUUCUCCUGUUAAAAAUUCAAAUUCCAAGCAACGCGUGAAUUUUUCCCGCAAACCGAGUUUUGUAUUAGGAUCACAUGAUGUGCGAAGAGGUGGCACGCCGAAACGUGCCACUUCCAGGUAAGUCAUUGUCUCCUGUUAGGUAUCAAUGUUUUGGCGAAACGAGAAUUUUUCCUGGAAACGGAGAUUUG